rnacentral:lncRNA from 1 species
CACAACAUUCAUUCAUGGCAUCCACAUGUCCAACCCUUUACUUCUACAUAUAAUCAUAGCAAGAAAAUACAUCCAAUCCAAAUAAUAACAAAGAACUAGCUAGACAUGAUCAUCCAAAGGGAAGAGAAGAAAAAGUGAAAACAAUCUAAACCCAAAUUGUCAAGUCGAGAUGUACUUGCUUCAGCGUUCUUUUCGAUCUUCUAUUCUUCAACCCAAUCCUCCUAGCUUCCUUGACCUUCAAUUUGAUCCUCAAUUGUGUCUUCUAGGGUUCUUAGAGAGGGGGAAGUUGAGAGAAAAAU